CGGCGCAGCUACCAUGCAGUCGAGCGAUAAGCCCUUCCGGGGCGAGUAUUAUGGCGCGAGGUGAAAACGCCUGGAUAAUCUACCCCUCGGUCUGGAAUAUCACUUGGAAACGACUGAUUAUACCCGAUGUACUGGAAACGGUCAAGGGGGUCUCUGCUUGAAACUUCUGGCUUUGGAUGAGUCCCCCUCUCAUUAACUAAACUGUAGGGGAACGGCCUUCCCUGGGAACCAUGACUUACACGACUUAAAAGGUGGACUGCCCCCCUGGGACUGGAAACCCGCCCCAAAUCCUACCGGAGGGAGCAGUGGGGAAUAUUGGCCCAUGGGGGAAACCCUGACCCCACCACCCCCCCUGGAGGAAGAAAGCUUUCCGGUCUGAAACUCCUUGCUUUAUGGAACAAACCUGAGAGUACUAAAAUGCUUCGCCAUUGACGGUACCUCUCCAGGAACCACCGGCUAAUUCCGUGCCCGAGCCCGCGGUAAUAUUUACUGGUGCAAGCGUUAAUCGUAAAUCACUGGUUUAUAUGCGCUCGAAAGUUGCUUUGCUUAUCAGGUGUGAAAUCCCACGGCUCAACCAUGGAAUUGCCCUUGAAACUGCAUUGAUUUCCUUCUGGAGAGGGUAGUGGAAUUCCGAGUGUAAGAGUGAAAUCCGUAGAGAUCUGCUUUCAACACCUGUGGUGAAGGCUGACUACCUGGACCGAUACUGACACAGAGGAUAGAAAGGGUGGGGAGCGAACAGGACAGGAUAACAUGGUAGUGCAGUCCGUAAAGGAUGGAUAGUAGGUUUGGGGUGGUUGGCAUUAGGUGCCCUAGUUACCGAGUUAACUCUAUAGCUAUGGGAGUUCGGUAGCAAGGUUGCAACUCAAAGAAUUAAACGAAGGGCCGCGCAAGCGGUCGAGCAGGUGGGCAUGUUCGAUAAUUCGAGAAGAACCUUACAUCGGCACCACAUCCCGGGAUCCUUCCCGAAAAGGAGGGGUGCUCUUAGGAGAACCAGGCAACAGGACAUGCAUGGCUGUCGUCUGGUCGUCUCGUGUGGUGUUGGGUUAGUUUAAGUAACGAGCGCAACCCAUAUUCUUAGUUGCCAUCAGGUCAUUAUGGGCAGCAUAGGGAGACUGCCCCGGUUAACCCCGAGGAAGAGGGGGGAUGGUCAAGUCAUCAUGGCCCUUACGCGUCCAGGUACACACGUACUACACAAUGCAUACAAAGGGCAGCGAUACCGUGAGAGGAGCCAAUCCCAGAAAAAACGUAUCAGUCUUGAUUGGAGUGUGCAACUCUCGCCCAUGAAGUCGGAAUCGCUAGUAAUCCCGGAUCACCAUGCCUGGGUGAAAGUGUUUUCGGGCCCUGUACACACCCCCCGUCACACCACGAAAGAUGGUUGUACCCGACAUCUCGUGAAGUCACGCAAGCGAGCAGCCGCCGACGGUUGGCCU
rnacentral:rRNA from 1 species